rnacentral:lncRNA from 1 species
CUCAUUUGUAGGGAUGUGCUUUUCAUGUCAUUUUAUGGAGCAUUACACUAUCUGGAAUAUUGUGCUUUAAACUGAAAAGUGUUUGUGUGUGAGUGACUUUUUGUGGAUGGAUGAACAGAAGAAGUUUUCAGCAGAGAGGAAUCUUUGUUUGCAGAGGCAGAAGCCUGCAGCCUUGUUGACAUGCUCCUGUGGCCACUGUGAACUGGAGACAGUUUAUGGAAGGAUGGCUUUGUACGUGGGAAGGGAGAAAAGUGAAAGAUACUAAGGAACUCAGUUGCUUGGAGACCUGCAUCUUUCUACCUGUGCUCAAAACAGUGUGAGUUCAAGCUGACAAAAAACAACUGCUCCAGCCCAAUUCAGUGGAAUUUUUCGACUUUCCUUCUCCAAACCCAUUGCUGCUGGAUGAAGCAUGUGGUGAGUUCCAUUUUAAAUACUGAGUUGAACUUUUGCAGAGAGUUUCAUGUUGCAAGAGUCAUGUUAAC